CGUGUGUUACUGUGUGUGUUUCUGCAUCCCUGUGAGGACCCAGGCCAGAGUCCUCACAGGGAUACAGAAACACACACAGUAACACACG
rnacentral:miRNA from 1 species